AUGCCGGGCUUCUUGCGCAUCUGUCCCUCGGUUUUGACACUUAUAGUACAACACUUCAUCACUGUGACCACAAAUAGCUUGACUUUCGGUGCUGGCACAAAACUUACAGUAAUAGGGAAGAAUGAUGAAAUCAUACCUCCAGCUGUGGCCAUCUUUUCCCCUUCAAAGGCAGAGAUCCAACAGAAGAGCAAGGCCACACUGGUAUGCCUGGCCUCUGGUUUCUACCCUGACCACCUGGAUCUGGUCUGGAAGGUGAACGGUGCUACAAGGACAGAAGGGGUGGGGACAGAUGAGUUUUCCACACGCAAUGGGAGUACCUACUCAUUGACCAGCAGACUGAGGAUCUCAGCCCAGGAAUGGUUCAACCCUUCAAAUCGCUUUGAGUGUGUUGCCAACUUUUUUAAGGAUGGAACACUGGAAUCAAUACACAAAUUAAUCUAUGGUGAUGCUGGCUGUUCACUCACGGAAGAGUCCUACUUGCGGUAUGGAAAUUCUCUGAAGCUCACUUACCUCAUUCUCUGUGGCAAAGCCUUGCUCUACGCGGUUUUGGUGAGCGGUCUGGUGUGGACAGUCAAGGUUGGUGGCAAGUUUUAUAGAGAAUAAGUGAAGAACUGUCGUAAUGAAUGAAUGAAGAUGUGGCCAUCAGCAGGAACAUAGCAAAUUAGAAUUUCUACUUUUCUAUAGCACAGGAUCUAUCCUUCUGCCUAAGAACUUCUGAAUUUCUUGGUGAUUCAAUGUCCAUCUCCUGUUCUUUCCACUUUGUUGCAAUCACUUUUGGGUUUUCCCUAUACUUCUAUAUCAUAUCGUAUCACAUCGUGUCGUAUGUAUCUUAUAGUAUCAUAUCUUUAAAAUUAACACCUUGUUAAUGCUCAGAGGCUGAAAACCCAUCCUUGUAUUUGGAAUAAAGUUUUAGCUUCUUUUCCAUUCAAGAA